rnacentral:rRNA from 1 species
GGGAGGCUUUGAAGUGUGGACGCCAGUCUGCAUGGAGCCGACCUUGAAAUACCACCCUUUAAUGUUUGAUGUUCUAACGUGGACCCGUGAUCCGGGUUGCGGACAGUGUCUGGUGGGUAGUUUGACUGGGGCGGUCUCCUCCUAAAGAGUAACGGAGGAGCACGAAGGUUGGCUAAUCCUGGUCGGACAUCAGGAGGUUAGUGCAAUGGCAUAAGCCAGCUUGACUGCGAGCGUGACGGCGCGAGCAGGUGCGAAAGCAGGUCAUAGUGAUCCGGUGGUUCUGAAUGGAAGGGCCAUCGCUCAACGGAUAAAAGGUACUCCGGGGAUAACAGGCUGAUACCGCCCAAGAGUUCAUAUCGACGGCGGUGUUUGGCACCUCGAUGUCGGCUCAUCACAUCCUGGGGCUGAAGUAGGUCCCAAGGGUAUGGCUGUUCGCCAUUUAAAGUGGUACGCGAGCUGGGUUUAGAACGUCGUGAGACAGUUCGGUCCCUAUCUGCCGUGGGCGCUGGAGAACUGAGGGGGGCUGCUCCUAGUACGAGAGGACCGGAGUGGACGCAUCACUGGUGUUCGGGUUGUCAUGCCAAUGGCACUGCCCGGUAGCUAAAUGCGGAAGAGAUAAGUGCUGAAAGCAUCUAAGCACGAAACUUGC